AAUAUCAACCCCGUGUUUAGGAUCUCUUCUGUAGUCCUUCUGCCAGCCCCUGCAAGGGAAAACACAGCCAUGGGAGUACUGAGGCAUUAAAACAGAAGCAAAUCAAGCAGAAAUCCCAGGAUUUCUACAUUCCUGUGCUGGUUUCCAUGUGCCUUCGGGGUUUUGAUUGGAUAAGCAAACAACAAGUUACAGGCAUUUGGGUGAUUCUAUUAAUACUGACUGGAUGAUUCAGUAAAUUGAUUCGUGAAUUGAGAAUUCAGGGUGAGUAAAAUUAUUUUCUUUUCUUAUACAGGAGCAAUGCUUCGAGUAUUUUCUCCUAUUACUGCUCUAUACUGUCUAUAUACAGAGAGGAUUUCCUUGGAAAGAGGUUCAGAAAAGAGCCUUCGUACUACAAGUACCUAGAAAGGGAAAGCAAAGAACUGAAGAUGACUGAGUAGAUGCCACUUCUGUCAGAUGUUUGGGGGUUUCCAUCUUAGGGAGGCCAGCUGCAAACUUUAAAGUCAUUAUGCUGUGUAGUGACUUGAAUGUUAAAUUAAUCAUGAAGCAGUUU